rnacentral:rRNA from 1 species
UACGUAGGGUGCAAGCGUUAUCCGGAAUUAUUGGGCGUAAAGAGCUCGUAGGCGGUUUGUCGCGUCUGCUGUGAAAACUGGAGGCUCAACCUCCAGCCUGCAGUGGGUACGGGCAGACUAGAGUGCGGUAGGGGAGAUUGGAAUUCCUGGUGUAGCGGUGGAAUGCGCAGAUAUCAGGAGGAACACCGGUGGCGAAGGCGGAUCUCUGGGCCAUAACUGACGCUGAGGAGCGAAAGCAUGGGGAGCGAACAGG